AUAGCGUAUAUUAAAGUUGUUGUGGUUAAAAAGCUCGUAGUUGAACCUUGGGCCUGGCUGGCCGGUCCGCCUCACCGCGUGCACUGGUCCGGCCGGGCCUUUCCCUCUGCGGAACCCCAUGCCCUUCACUGGGUGUGGCGGGGAAACAGGACUUUUACUUUGAAAAAAUUAGAGUGCUCAAGGCAGGCCUAUGCUCGAAUACAUUAGCAUGGAAUAAUAGAAUAGGACGUGUGGUUCUAUUUUGUUGGUUUCUAGAGUCGCCGUAAUGAUUAAUAGGGAUAGUCGGGGGCAUCCGUAUUCAAUUGUCAGAGGUGAAAUUCUUGGAUUUAUUGAAGACGAACUACUG
rnacentral:rRNA from 1 species